rnacentral:piRNA from 1 species
AUCUCCGUAGGGAGCGGACACGG